UACGGCCACAUCACGUUGAAACACCGGUUCCUGUACGAUUACCGAAGUUAAACAACGUCGCCCCUGGACAGUACCUAGAUGAGUGACUGCUUGGGAAUGCUGUAAGCUG